rnacentral:rRNA from 1 species
GGGACCGGGGCCGUCCGACUCCGCGCCAUCCGGAGCGCCCGACGCAUUUGUCUCUCGUCCGAAGGACGCUGCAGCCGGUCGGGCAGUGCAAGCGCGACGGCCUGAAGGGCGGGAAACGGCAGGUGGCCGGUGGCGCGCCUCGGCGCGUCGCCGGUUGUUAGCCGUCCCGUCAGUGGCCCGUCGCUCGACCGAGGUGUCACGAGGCCCAUCAGGGCCCCUUCGUCUCCUCCCCCUCAGGGGGAAGUCGGGACAGCGUCGCAGGCGAAGUCCGCCGUCCCGUCGCACUCCUUCGGAGUGGGCGGGCGAACGGACGGCGCCGUUGGUGGCGAAGGCCCGCGGGAGACCGGAGGCUAGCAGCGAGUAGGUCGGUCACCCACCCGACCCGUCUUGAAACACGGACCAAGGAGUCUAACAUGUGCGCGAGUCAAUGGGUCUUGAACAGGCCCAGGGGCGCAAUGAAAGCAAAGGUCGGCUCGCGUCGGCCGAGUUGGGAUCCCUCCCCCUCGGGGGGGGCGCACCAACGACCCGUCCUAUCCGGCUCGCCGGUUGGGCGGAGUGUGAGCGUACACGUUGGGACCCGAAAGAUGGUGAACUAUGCCCGGACAGGACGAGGCCAGAG